rnacentral:rRNA from 1 species
GAUUAACUCUGGCGGCGUGCCUAAUACAUGCAAGUCUAUCGAACAGACGAGGAGCUUGCUCCUCUGACGUUAGCGUCGUACGGGUGAGUAACACGUGGAUACCCUCCCUAUAUGACUGGGAUAACUUCGGGAAACCGGAGCUAAUACCUGAUAAUAUAUUGAACCGCAUGGUUCAAUAGUUAAACACGGUUUUGCUGUCACUUAUAGAUGGAUCCGCGCCGCAUUAGCUAGUUGGUAAGGUAACGGCUUACCAAGGCAACGAUGCGUAGCCGACCUGAGAGGGUGAUCGGCAACAAUGGAACUGAGACAAGGGCCAGACUCCGAAGGGAGGCAGCAGUAGGGAAUCAUCCGCAACGGGCGAAAGAGUGACGGAGGAACAGCGCGUGAGUGAUGAAGGUUAUCGGAACGUAAAACUCUGUUAUUAGGGAAGAAAAAAUGUGUAAGUAACUAUGCAAGGCUUGAAGGUACCUAAUCAGAAAGCAACGGCUAAAUACGGG